AACGAACGCUGGCGGCAGGCUUAACACAUGCAAGUCGAACGCCCCGCAAGGGGAGUGGCAGACGGGUGAGUAACGCGUGGGAAUCUACCCAGUUCUACGGAACAACUGAGGGAAACUUCAGCUAAUACCGUAUACGCCCUACGGGGGAAAGAUUUAUCGGAAUUGGAUGAGCCCGCGUUGGAUUAGCUAGUUGGUGAGGUAACGGCUCAACAAGGCGACGAUCCAUAGCUGGUCUGAGAGGAUGAUCAGCCACACUGGGGCUGAGACACGGCCCCUACUCCUACGGGAGGCAGCAGUGGGGAAUAUUGGACAAUAGGCGCGAGCCUGAUCCAGCCAUGCCGCGUGAGUGAUGAAGGCCUUAGGGUUGUAAAGCUCUUUUACCAGGGAUGAUAAUGACAGUACCUGGAGAAUAAGCUCCGGCUAACUCCGUGCCAGCCGCCGCGGUAAGAC
rnacentral:rRNA from 1 species